UCUCAGUCUUCCCCUGCUUGUUGUCGUGUCGUACACCCUCUCCGUAAUGUGUUUUCUCCUCUCGUGUUCCUGAGAAUAUUCUAGCUCCCAGUCCUGGUUUGUUUCUUUGCUCGAGUUUCUUAGUCUCCAGCUUCCAGUGCCCAGUUUAGUUUCGAGUUUUGCGAUUGAGGUUUUGGUUUGUUUUGUAAAAGUCUAUUUCCUAUAAAGAGUUUUUCCCAGCAAUAAAGCUGCGCUUGAAGUGUAACUUUCAGUUUCUGAGUCCUACGUUUGGGUCCUUCAUCUUGGCUGCCACACAGCACUCGACAUGACAAGAAUGUCCUGUUGACAGUUUCCUUGAAACUUUGUUUUUGAGGUCAGAUGUUUGAAAAGCCAUUCAUCUGUCUGCCCUGUGGAACCUGAAAUCCUGCUGAACCUCACCACACUGAGCAGGUGUCCACUAAGGAUGUGUUUGACUUUAAGAGAAGAAGGAGGUUGUACCUGAGCAUCCAUGAGCAAGUGUCUCAUCAGAGUCAUAGACUUCCUCAAGGUAUCCCUCUCUCCCGGCAUGAAGGCCUUAUCCUCAUCAGUCAGGCUACAAGGUCGAGUGACCGUGAACUGAGCAAUCUGGUCAUUCAGGCUGUUCAGAGACUGGACGGCUGCAAAAGAAGUUUAAAACAAAUGUUGAAAAUUCAUACCACAUGAAAACAUUACAAACAUUUUUUCAACUCCUCUCAUGUAGGUCAAGAAUCUCCUGAGUGUCUCGACAAGCUUGUUUGCAUGCUCUCUCUCUCUAGUGGGAUUUUCUGGAUCAGACGUGUGUGAUCUGAGACACUUCCUUCAUCUGUACGGCCAUGGCUCUACUGUUCUCUUCAGAAUAAUCCCUCUUUUGGAGUAAAGGGGCAUCAUUAGGCUAAAUCCAUAACCAAGACAGAGACUCACAUAGAGCCCAUUACAUAAUCCAUUCACCAGGGUUUUGUCGAUUAGAAACAAUGGCAAUACAGCGGUUGCUUCACAGAGCUCUUUGGUCAGACCCUGUGGGUGGUAAUAAAGAAAAGUAUGAUGAACACUGACGUUUCACUGAGACGGCCGUGUAAAUUUAAGGCCAGCUGAGUGAUAGAUUACUUUUUCAGAUGAACACUAAUGGGAACCAUUGCUGUACAAGACUUCCUCCUCAGACUGUUAUUAAGCAGUUAUUUAUGUAUCUGUUGUUUAUAUUUUACAGACUCAUACUCCACAAUUGUAGCCAUUUCUAUGCUCCUCAGAUGAUGAUGAUGGAGUCGUUUUAUGUCUUGUCCUGUCUAGUCUUGUCUUUGUGUUAAGUCUGCGUUUUGUUUUGUUUUUUUAUGUGUUCUGUUUGUUUGGUUCCUGUUUAAUUUUGACAUUCUCCGAUCUUGUGUGCGCUAUGGUCAGUUUUGCCUAGUAAGUUCCUCGGCCUUGCCUUCUCUAUGUUUGUUGCAUUUUGUAAAGCUGUUUACAGUUUAUUCCUCAUUUUUCCGAGUCAUUUUGGGUCCAACUAAUUUCUGUCAGACAGCCAACCUUGAAAGAAACACCCUUAAACCAUGUUUUGAGUGUUGAUGUUGCAUUGUUUGUCCACCAGAGGGACCCUGCAAAUUUCCUGUUGGCAGCAAGUGUUUGGAACAAGACAAACAACAACCAGCUGAUCUCAACAGAACAAGCAGCUGUAUACAAAAAAUAUUUUUUGUGAUAAAUGAGAUCAUUUUUAACAUGUAUUGUUAUAUUAUAUCAGUAAGUACUGACUCAUAAAUAAAA